CGGGUGACACAUGUAUCGGAACGUGCCCUGUUGCGGGGGAUAACUACUCGAAAGAGUGGCUAAUACCGCAUACGCCCUACGGGGGAAAGGGGGGGAUCGCAGGACCUCUCACUAUUGGAGCGGCCGAUAUCGGAUUAGCUAGUUGGUGGGGUAAAGGCUCACCAAGGCAACGAUCCGUAGCUGGUUUGAGAGGACGACCAGCCACACUGGGACUGAGACACGGCCCAGACUCCUACGGGAGGCAGCAGUGGGGAAUUUUGGACAAUGGGGGAAACCCUGAUCCAGCCAUCCCGCGUGUAUGAUGAAGGCCUUCGGGUUGUAAAGUACUUUUGGCAGAGAAGAAAAGGUAUCCCCUAAUACGGGAUACUGCUGACGGUAUCUGCAGAAUAAGCACCGGGUAACUACGUGCCAGCAGCCGCGGUAAUACGUAAGGUGCAGGCGUUAAUCGGAAUUACUGGGCGUAAAGCGUGUGUAGGCGGUUCGGAAAGAAAGAUGUGAAAUCCCAGGGCU
rnacentral:rRNA from 1 species